UGUAUAGACCAUGCCACCCUGAACGUGCCCAACCUUAUCUGAUCUCGGCUAAGCCAGGGUCGAGCCUGGUUAGUACUUGGAUGGGAGAACGCCUAGGAAGACCAGGUGAUGCAG
rnacentral:rRNA from 1 species